rnacentral:antisense_RNA from 1 species
ACGUGACGAGGAACUAGCCUUAGCGAGGCCAUGGGGGAAAAAGUCUAACUGGCGGAACUCCUGGGAACUGGGGCGAUGGGCUCUUAGUAUCGGAGGAUUGGAACCAUCUGAUUUUUACCUGAAAUUCCUUAGUCUCUCCUGUGUUGGGGAAAUGGUCACCUUGCCUUCAGGGACCUGGGCUUUCAGCUGUCCAUACCUGGCCCUGGUUGAUGGCGGCAUGCUGGGCAGUGCACGUGAAGACGCACAUGAGACCGGGACUUGCUGUGGUGCCCAGGCUGGUCUUGAACUCCUGGUCUUAAGCAAUCAUACUGCUUUGGCCACCCAAAGCACUGGGAUUACAGGCGUGAACCACCACACCCAGCUCUUAAAACCACAGUAUUUCUAGGACUGCACCAAGGGGCAACGCAGUACUGCAGCCUUCCUCUGACUCAGUUUGGAUUCUCUCUGUCCGUUCUCACCACACUACUAAGGAGAGAACAGUGCCAGGCAGGGGAAGGAGAGGUACCUGAAGUUCUUUCUCCAGUUGAGCACGAAGCUCUUCCAUCCCCGAGGGCAGCACUAGCCUGGAGGGCA